rnacentral:rRNA from 1 species
UACGAAGGGGGCGAGCGUUGUUCGGAAUUACUGGGCGUAAAGGGCGCGUAGGCGGUCCUUCAAGUCAGGCGUGAAAGCCCCGGGCUCAACCUGGGAACCGCGCUUGAGACUGGCGGACUCGAGUUCGGGAGAGGAUGGUGGAAUUCCCAGUGUAGAGGUGAAAUUCGUAGAUAUUGGGAAGAACACCGGUGGCGAAGGCGGCCAACUGGACCAUUUCUGACGCUGAGGCGCGAAAGCGUGGGGAGCAAACAGG